AAGUUAAUAAACCCAUCUUUUCUCUUGGUUCUUUCUCCCCACUGUUCCUAGAUCUCUCCUCUGGGGCCAAGAAGAACAUGGCCCAUGACUCAUCCACACGGCUAUUGUGUCUCCAGAUCCUUCCACCAGGCCUCAGACAGCCCCCUCUGGCCACUCUCCUAAAAUGGGGUGCCCAGGACAGAAUGCACCACUUUAGAUGGGCCGGGCCCUGGGAUUCUUUAAAUGCAGCCCGAAAGUGUUCAUUUGGGGACACCGAAGUCCAAAGAAAACAACGGGCGGCUCCCCUCUGCCCAGAGAAUCCAACACUCCAGCUGAAUGAUGGGAGGGAAUGGCCAAGCUCUCGCCUAGAUCCUGGGCACUCUCUGCUUUCUCCAGACCUCCUGGCAUUUCUUCCUUGUCCCUCCAGCAGCCCAAGGACCUAGGCAAAAGGCAGGCAGUGAAACAAACCGCUGAACAGAGAAGAGGAGAAGAGAAAACCAAUCUGCCACCAAAGUGGGCAAUGCUUUCAAAAUGUUGGAUGGUUUCAUGCUUCUGGACCCCAGGGUGUCUUCUUCCUCUUCUUGUGAAGUUUGCACCAUUCACUUUUGAGUAUUUCAUGGUCGGUUAUUCUUCCUAUUUCCAUCAUUGGAACUGUGUUGACUGUUUUGCCUUCCUUCAUUCGGCAUCGAUUGCCCCCUUGGUAUUUGCCAUGUUUGUCAUUUCUUAGGCCACAGUCAGAUUCCAUUCCACCCGUGUAGCUGUUCCCCAAUAGAUGGGCGUCGACUUUGGGGCCAGUUCUUUGCUCCCCUAUCCACAUGCUUUUGGUCAAAGACCUCCUUGGGGCAUGUGCCUGGCGGCAGUGAGAUCUCUGGGGCAAAGGGCUUUGAUGGAUAUUGUAGUCACUUUCUCUGCAUAAUUCCCAAUGGUUUUCCAUAAUGGUUGGACAAGUUCGCCAGCGGUUGAUUCCUGCCAGGUAAUGGUUCCUGGUCAACUCCCUCCAUCUGCCCCGCCCUACACCCCUCCCUCUGCUACUCCUCAGUGCCCCUAGCUCUUGAUUUGGGAUAGACAAGCUUAACUAGCUCCUCCUUUG